rnacentral:rRNA from 1 species
ACACCGGCAGCCCAAGUGGUGGCCAUUUUUAUUGGGCCUAAAGCGUUCGUAGCCGGCCUGAUAAGUCUCUGGUGAAAUCCCGCAGCUUAACUGUGGGAAUUGCUGGAGAUACUAUCAGGCUUGAGGUCGGGAGAGGUUAGAGGUACUCCCAGGGUAGGGGUGAAAUCCUAUAAUCCUGGGAGGACCACCUGUGGCGAAGGCGUCUAACUGGAACGAACCUGACGGUGAGUAACGAAAGCCAGGGGCGCGAACCGGAUUAGAUUCCCGUGUAGUCCUGGCCGUAAACGAUGUGGACUUGGUGUUGGGAUGGCCUCGAGCUGCGCCAGUGCCGAAGGGAAGAUGUUAAGUCCAACGCCUGGGAAGUACGGUCGCAAGACUGAAACUCAAAUGAAUUGGCGGGG